rnacentral:rRNA from 1 species
GGGUCCUGCCUGCCCAGUGACUUCAGUUAAACGGCCGCGGUAUCUUGACCGUGCGAAGGUAGCAUAAUCAUUUGUCUCCUAAAUAGAGACUAGCAUGAAUGGCAAGACGGAACUAACCUGUCUCCUUUCUCUUAAUCUGAAACUCACCUUCCCGUGAAGAGGCGGGAAUUAACUCGCUAGACGAGAAGACCCUGUCGAGCUAAAGCAGAAAACGAAACCACUUAACUCUUUAAUUUGCUAACUAAACAAAACUAAUUUUACUAAUUAAAGACCUCCGACCCUUCAUUCAAAGCUUUGGUUGGGGCAACCGCGUAGAAAAAUAAUCCUACGCUCUCAACUAUCCCAAAAGGGAUUGAACAAAAGAAAUAUAGCUCUUUUACUAUUUUUAAUAAGAACAAAUGAUCCACCAAGGUGAUCAAAAGAACAAGUUACCGCAGGGAUAACAGCGUAAUCUUCUUUGAGAGUCCAUAUUGACAAGAAGGUUUGCGACCUCGAUGUUGGAUCGGGACAUCCUAAGGGUGCAGAAGCUCUUAAAGGUUGGUCUGUUCGACCAUUAAAGUCCU